rnacentral:rRNA from 1 species
GACGAACGCUGGCGGCGUGCUUAACACAUGCAAGUCGAACGGAAAGGCCCUGCUUGCAGGGUACUCGAGUGGCGAACGGGUGAGUAACACGUGGGUGAUCUGCCCUGCACUUCGGGAUAAGCCUGGGAAACUGGGUCUAAUACCGGAUAGGAGCCAUUUUUAGUGUGAUGGUUGGAAAGUUUUUUCGGUGUAGGGUGAGCUCGCGGCCUAUCAGCUUGUUGGUGGGGUAAUGGCCUACCAAGGCGGCGACGGGUAGCCGGCCUGAGAGGGUGGACGGCCACAUUGGGACUGAGAUACGGCCCAGACUCCUACGGGAGGCAGCAGUGGGGAAUAUUGCACAAUGGGCGCAAGCCUGAUGCAGCGACGCCGCGUGGGGGAUGACGGCCUUCGGGUUGUAAACUCCUUUCGCUAGGGACGAAGCUUUUUGUGACGGUACCUAGAUAAGAAGCACCGGCUAACUACGU